rnacentral:rRNA from 1 species
UACGUAGGGGGCAAGCGUUGUCCGGAUUUACUGGGCGUAAAGCGCGUGUAGGCGGCUACGCAGGUCCGUUGUGAAAACUGGAGGCUCAACCUCCAGACGUCGACGGAAACCGUGUGGCUAGAGUCCGGAAGAGGAGAGUGGAAUUCCUGGUGUAGCGGUGAAAUGCGCAGAUAUCAGGAAGAACACCAAUGGGCGAAGGCAGCUCUCUGGGACGGUACUGACGCUGAGACGCGAAAGCGUGGGGAGCGAACAGG